ACCAGACUCCUACGGGAGGCAGCAGUGGGGGAUAUUGCACAAUGGGGGGAACCCUGAUGCAGCGACGCCGCGUGGGUGAAGAAGCGCCUCGGCGCGUAAAGCCCUGUCAGCAGGGAAGAAAAUGACGGUACCUGAAGAAGAAGCCCCGGCUAACUACGUGCCAGCAGCCGCGGUAAUACGUAGGGGGCAAGCGUUAUCCGGAUUUACUGGGUGUAAAGGGGGCGCAGACGGCGAUGCAAGCCAGGAGUGAAAGCCCGGGGCCCAACCCCGGGACUGCUCUUGGAACUGCGUGGCUGGAGUGCAGGAGGGGCAGGCGGAAUUCCUGGCGUAGCGGUGAAAUGCGUAGAUAUCAGGAGGAACACCGGUGGCGAAGGCGGCCUGCUGGACUGCAACUGACGUUGAGGCCCGAAAGCGUGGGGAGCAAACAGGAUUAGAUACCCCCGUAGU
rnacentral:rRNA from 1 species